CUAUGUGAUGAUAUUGUAAGUAUUCCUUUGUCGAGAGUACGAGUAAGUUUUAUUAGAAUAGUCUUAUGUUAGAGAAUUGAUGCGUUAGGAUUUAUGAGCUAAGGGAUAGUCUAGGUACAGUUUCUCUGAAUGUAGGCCUCCUAAAAGGUAAUGAAUGCGUGCAAAGGUUUCUUCGGGUCAAAUGGAAAUUGUCCCUUGGCUUGACUGCAAGAUCCACCGCUGAGUAGGGACGAAAGUCGGCCUUAGUAAUUCAACGAUGCCAAGUGGAAGGCCAUUGCUCAACGGAUAAUAAUUACUCUAG
rnacentral:ncRNA from 1 species